GGGACCGUAGCUCAGAGGCAAAGAGCGCACGCAUGGCCGGCCAUGCGGAGAGGUCGGCGUAUCGCAAACGUCCGGUUCCACCA
rnacentral:tRNA from 1 species